GACGAACGCUGGCGGCGUGCUUAACACAUGCAAGUCGAACGGAAAGGCCCUGCUUUUGUGGGGUGCUCGAGUGGCGAACGGGUGAGUAACACGUGAGUAACCUGCCCUUGACUUUGGGAUAACUUCAGGAAACUGGGGCUAAUACCGGAUAGGAGCUCCUGCUGCAUGGUGGGGGUUGGAAAGUUUCGGCGGUUGGGGAUGGACUCGCGGCUUAUCAGCUUGUUGGUGGGGUAGUGGCUUACCAAGGCUUUGACGGGUAGCCGGCCUGAGAGGGUGACCGGCCAAAUGGGGAGGGAGAUAGGCCCCAAACACAGUGGGGGGGGAGGGGGGGGGAGGAAUGAAAAAGGGGCGGAGGACGGAGUGAGCAAGCCCGGGGGCGGGAGGGAGGCCGGGGGGAUGGAAACCGAUUUCGCCUGGGAGGAAGGGUGAGGAAAGGAAAGGGGGAAAAAAGCCCCGGCAAAUCCGGG
rnacentral:rRNA from 1 species